AAGUGGAAAUACCAUUUGGGGUAUGGAAAAGAGGCAGAUAUAAGAGCGAAAAUGCCGGAAAGAGAGGCAGCAAACGUGGGGGAUUCCUGGAAGGAAGUGAAAAUAGGAGUGAAAAUGGGGAGCAGUGGGACGGGAGCUCAGAUGAAGGUGAUUUAAGUCAAUGUAUGGGAAAGGAAUGGCAAAAGUGGGUUCGUAGAAUAAGUCAAAGUACGGGGGAGAAUGGGGAAAGGCAGCAGGGAUUCUUAGGGGAAUAAGGGUGUAAAACAUAAACACAGAUGGAAGAUUAAAAGGUGAACGAAAAUGAGGGGUGUUUCUGCCCGGUUUCGAACCGGGGACCUUUCGCGUGUGAGGCGAACGUGAUAACCACUACACUACAGAAACUGCACGCAGGGCUGCUAUAGCCCCAUAUUUCCAGUAGGAUUCACCAAAGCUCUUUUUUCCACCCAAAUUCCUCUCUGAACCCCUCAGGUUUGCCGUCGCCAUUCGAAGACGGCCAUUUUGUGGUGAGCGGCGAAGAUUGAAGGCGUGAGGAAGAAAAGAGGUUUAAAUUAAAAAGAAAAAAAAAGGUAAAAAGAAAGAAAAUAGCGACCCCAACUCAUCCGAUGGGCGGACUUUCCCUGACCGGGAAUCGAACCCGGGCCACGGCGGUGAAAGCGCCGGAUCCUAACCACUAGACCACCAGGGAGAGGAAUCGAGGAAGAGGAGAAGAAUUGCAGUCACAGAGCGGACGAGGUUGGAAGGGGCCUCUGGGGGUCAUCAGGAUCUGCACGUGAGCCUGGAUUUUCUCCUGGAUGGAGAAGAAACAGUUUUUGGUGCAUUUCAGUCCAGCCCUCUCCCUUAUGUGAUAUUCUGGGCUGAUUUUCAGGAUCUCUAUGGUGGUCUGGGAAUGAAAUCUUGAAGAACAUCAGGAUGACCAACAAUGGAAGAAGAUGGAGAGCCCUAAAGUGGAGACUGUCCAUCCUCCAACCCACAAAACACAUUGAAAAAGGAUGACGGAAACCCAACUGUGGCAGCAAAG